UGGAAGCAUUGGGUUGGCGGCCUAAAUUCUGACCGAAUGAAAUAAGUCUGGAGUGAAUUAAAGCUAUAGUCUGAGUCCCAGUCAUGCACAGAAAAAGUUGGAAGAAGCAGGUGAUUUUGUAAACAGUUAAUUCUUACAGAGGCUGUUCUUUGGGAACCCCUCAUUGAAGUGAUUGCGUUUGGCCUGCUUCUCUUCCCUCACACCCCCGUGAUGCACAACAAAUCUCAACCAUGUGGAUCUUAGUUUAUUUACAAUAGUCAACCUUUAACUAAAAAUUGGUGCUCAACAUCACUGUAAUUAAAAUGGAACAUAGAACCCAGCUUGGCUAGGAGUUUACGAUGUGGCCAUGAAAAUACUUUAUCCACAUGGAGCACUGUCAAACGAUCAGGUUUUGGGUCUCCCUGGUUCUGCAGGCUGACAGCUAUUUUGGCAGCAGUGUCGUCAAAAACAGAUUGGACCAUGUACGUUCUUCUAAACCUAGAGCUGAAGAGUCCAUUUAGUGAGAAAUAAAUCUAAGUAGGUGGUAGGUUCACACACAGGUGGCAAUGUGUGAAUAAUUUAUUUCGUUUGACUGAAGAUGCAUGAACAAAGAAGAUCCUUGGAUAAAGAUGUAAACUGAUGUGGAUGCCAGAUGAACUUUGACUGAACUUAAGGCCGAACCAUAUUUAAAAAAAAAAAAUAAAUAACCCAGGAUAAGGAGACACAAUAGCAGAUGCUGGAACCAUCUGUUCUGGGACAGCUUUAAUCAAAAACUUCUUUUGGUCUAUUGUAUGUUUCCCCAUUAGGUAGUGGUAUUCUCUGUAUGAAUGUGGUCUGCCUGAGGUGAGAUAUGAACAAUAAUGGCCCUGACCUCCAGGAUUCCACACUGUGUCUUGAGAUCCACUUUCUUACAGCCAUGAGGAUGAGAUUGAAUUCUGAAAAGAUGUAACAUUUAAAGGGGUUAAUUAUUUUUAUAUCUUUUCUCAAAGUUGGCAGCAAUUCACCCAUUGAUGGAUAGAUCUAACCAGCACCCUUGGCUGUGUGAAUUUUGGCUGAGAGGGCAAGGAGUGCUGCAACCCAAGUAUGAUUCUACCGCCAACUCCAUCGAUGUUUCAUACUGAGAAUGAGCAGCUCCACAACUUCCUGUUGUGAAGGUUUCUCCUCUUUCAUGUGUGGCUUUGUGCGGGAGGCUUGCCUUUCCCUCGGUUGACGUAUUUUCAGCCUGUGU